rfam:Melampsora larici-populina 98AG31 unplaced genomic scaffold MELLAscaffold_6, whole genome shotgun sequence.
AUCUGGGGCCAUACCACAAUGAACUUACCGCAUCCCGUCCGAUCUGCGCAGUCAAACAUUGUAGGGCCGAGUCAGUAGUGCGGUGGGGGACCACGAAAAAAAAGAGGAUUCUGUCCCGAACC